rnacentral:rRNA from 1 species
CCUACGGGAGGCAGCAGUGAGGAAUAUUGGUCAAUGGCCGCAAGUCUGAACCAGCCAUGCCGCGUGCAGGAAGACGGCUCUAUGAGUUGUAAACUCCUUUUGUACGAGGGUAAACGCAGAUACGCGUAUCAGUCUGAAAGUAUCGUACGAAUAAGGAGCGGCUAACUCCGUGCCAGCAGCCGCGGUAAUCCGGAGGAUUCAAGCGUUAUCCGGAUUUAUUGGGUUUAAGGGGUGGGUAGGCGGUCGGAUAAGUUAGAGGGGAAAUCCCGAGGCUCAAAUUCGGAAUUGCCUUUGAUACUGUUCGGCUAGAGAGUAGUUGCGGUAGGCGGAAUGUAUGGUGUAGCGGUGAAAUGCUUAGAGAUCAUACAGAACACCGAUUGCGAAGGCAGCUUACCAAGCUACGUCUGACGUUGAGGCACGAAAGCGUGGGGAGCAAACAGGAUUAGAUACCCCUGUAGUC